CACGCCCUAAACUAUGAUCACUCGUUGUUGGAGGAUUCGACCCCUUCAGCGACUAAGCUAACGCGAUAAGUGAUCCGCCUGGGUAGUACGAUCGCAAGAUUAAAACUCAAAGGAAUAGACGGGGACCCGCACAAGCGGUGGAGCAUCUGGUUUAAUUCGACAGUAAGCGAGGAACCUCACCUAGGCUUGACAUCCCGAGAAGAUUGCCGAAAGGCGAUUGUGCCGCAAGGAACUCGGUGACAGGUGC
rnacentral:rRNA from 1 species